rnacentral:lncRNA from 1 species
UACUAGCAAUGCAAUGAGUCGGAUUAACUAGGUCGGUGGUGCUUGUGAAAAUGGCUGUGACAGUGAUACUAAGGAAGAGAAUUUUUGGGGGAAAUUCAAAAGAGGAUGUGCCAAACCUAGUGACCAUUUAGUAUGCGGUUUGCGGUAGGAAAACGAAAUUGGAUUAAUUGUAGUGAGACCGUGUUAGCGAUUCACAACCGUCUUAUUAAG